rnacentral:tRNA from 1 species
ACUUAGGUAGCUUAAUUAAAAGCGUUACGUUGAAGCCGUAAAGAUGAUGGGGCAUCUUUAAGUA